GUCUCCGCCAUGGGCCUGCGCCGCCUCGGGACCGGGGUCAGGGAGCUCCUGCCUGCCUGGAUGAAGAGGAGGUCAAGACUUUGUCCCCCACUCCGCAAGAUACCCUCUCUGUUCCGGAGCGGUGGGUCCCUCCCCUGUUAGGACCUUGUCUCCCUCAGGACUGGACCUGGAUCCUGGGCCUGCAGUCAGAUUGCCAGUUUCACUUAGAGGUGGAAAUGUCAACCCACUGGUUGGAAUGGGAAGGUGUACCACUUGAUGAAUGAUCCCAACGUGAGCACACCUCUGGAUUACCACCUGGAUCAAGAAAUAGGACAUCACAGCAGCUGGCAGCUUCCAAGGAGAAGCUCUGGAAAGUUCUGCCUGUCUCAGCACCUGGCUGGAUCGGAAACGAGUUUUCUUUAACCAGAUUUUUAAUGACUGACUUAUGUGGACAAAUCAUAACUGAAUGAAUCACCUCCUUUGUUGAUUUUUUUGGGUACUUUAUUUGCUAUUAUAAAUGAUGCUGUAAUAAGCACCCUUGAAGAAAUCUUCAUAUCUGCCUCUCCUGUGUAGCAGGUCACAGUGCCUGGGUUUGGUUCUAGCCCUCAUUUGUGAACUGUGUGACUCACCAUGCCUUUUUUCUUUCUGUAAGACAGGAAUAAUGGUAAGAAUUUAAAUGGGGGUAAUAUGGAGCGCGUUUAGUUCAGAGCCUGGUGCAUACAAGCACUCAAUAAGUACUGGCGAUUAUUAGACCUUUAGAUUAAUUUAUUAGAAGUUGGAUUUCUGGUGAAAGGGUUUGAGUGUUUUUGAGGCUUUGGCACAGAAUACCCAGCUGGUCCCAGAAAGGUGGUUCCCAUUUACCUGCCCGAAGGUAAUUCACCCUUACUGAUACUGAGUACUGUUUUCUAAAAGAACAUUAAAAAUUGGAUAGGUUAAAAACAGGUGAAUACAUUUUUUUAGUUGCAUUUUUUUGGUUACCCGUGAGAGUGAACAUGUUGCCAUGUGUUUGCUGACCUCCUAAAUGGUCUAUUUGCUCCUACCUUUGUACCCCAAAAGUCUGCUCUCAAGAUGGUAGCCAGAAUGAUCCUUUUUGAGACAUAAGUCAAAAUUUCACUCUUCUCCUUAAAGCUCUGCAAUGGUUCUCAGGUUAAAAGCCAAAGUCCUGUUCAAGGCCUCCAGGGUCCUCACCACUUGGUCCCUUGCUCUUUCUGUUCUAGCCAACUUGGCCUUCUCCUGCCCCUCCGCCGCACCAUGGCAAUUUCCCCUGCUCUGUGUGGUCAACUACCUGAAUCUGUUCAAAGCUUUGCUCAAAUGUCUCCUUCCUGAUGAGACCUCCCCAGCCCCUGAGCUCCCCAUGCCUCACUCCUGAUCGCCUUACUUAACCCUUCUUUUUCUUUUUUGCCAGUAGUACUUAUCACCGUCUAAAAUACUUCAUAAUUUACUUGUUUAUUGUUUGCCCCUCUCCAAUAGAAUGUAAGCUCCUUGGGGCAGGGACCUUUGUCCUUUGUCUUGUUCACUGCUGUGUCCCAUGUGUAAACUUGUCUGGCACAGAAGAGGUGCUCGAUAAAUAUUUGUUGAGUGAAUGAAUGGUAAAUUUUCUGUUCAUAUUCUUUGACUAUUUUCUAUUGUAAUGUUCAUCUUUUUAGUAUUGGUUUAUAAGAUGUAUAUUUAGCACCUUUUCAUAUAUCACUCUUUGUCACAUAUUAUGCAACUAAUUUGUCAUUUCCAUCAAUUUUUAAAAUACUUUCUUGAUGCUUCAUUUUUAAGCUGUCAGAUUAUUAAUCUUUUCUUUAUGGUCUUGGACUUUAUUGUUGCAUAACCGCUGCCUUCACCAGGAACAUAUAAAUUUUCAAUUAAAUGUUCUUCUGAGAUUUUAUGAUUUCACUUUUUAUAUUAAACUCUUCAUUUUGUCUUCAUGUGUGGUGAGAGGUAAGAACAUAACUUUAAAGCAAAUUAACCAACUAUC
rnacentral:lncRNA from 10 species